AUUUUAUAUCUAAGCAAGUCUUACACAGACACUGUAUUGGAUUUUUAUGCCUAUCAUGUAUUUGUUUUGGCUGAUUCGCUGAUUUGAUUUUGACCCUUGGCUUUCAAGCAUGCGCAGUAUAUUUAUUUUGCUACUGUCUGGUGUGUGUUCGUAAAUCUUGGAGUUGAGUUUAAUCGGUUACAUCAAGAGGAGCCUAAUUGACGCGAUUGAGAACAGGACAACUCUGCUUACAGUCUAACUUGAGUAAUGAAACUGGAAGACAAUGAAGGACAUGGUGAAGCCAGAACAUACAGCAGGAAAAGAACAGCAUCAUCAUCCAAGAGGGAUGGGUGCCCUACAGACAGGCGUGUCCUGAAUUUGGCCCGGCUUUACCACUUGUCCUGGGAUAGAAAUGCUCAGGUUGUCAUGCUGAUUGGGGCAGGUUCAUAUGAUCAUAGAUCUUAUGGGUGUAACUUUGGUGAUGUGUCAUGGUGCUUAUCUUUCUCAAUGACAAGUUAGUAGAGUAUUGCUUAUCCAUUAGGUAGGUUUAUUAUUGUGAAAAGUCAGAAUGGGGGAAAAGAGGAAGAAAGGACACUGAGAGGAAGCACAAGGUAACAUGGACCAGUCAUUUCACUUAUGCACACACACACACACACACACACACACACACACACACACACACACACACACACACACUUGAUGGUUAUUUGAUUUCAUAGGCGAAUCACUCCAGUUCUUAACACCCUUGUAAACCUCUGCAGGAGCCGGAAAUCACAAGGUGAGCAUGGACAGAUCAGUCUCCUCAGAUACAUUUACGUACAGGGUUUAUGUGAAAGCACCCUUAAUUACAAUCUCCAAUUUACAUGUCUUCAUUCACAAUGAAGGGUGUAGUAUAAUUUUACAAUGUGCUCUGUUUCAUUAUGUAAGUCAGUGGUCACCUUUUAUAAAUUACCACAGUUAGGCAAUGCUUCCAGUUUAGCAAUCAUCUGAUUUAUCUUGUGGGUUCAUUUGUGAGCGUGUGACUUAUUCUGUCUUUCCUUUAUCAAUUCGGGGAAUUUAAAAUCUGUCUUGGGGAGUGGCCAUGCAGAUGUGGAGACCAACAGUGUAGACAUGGAUGCAUCACCACCUUCUGGAAGGAGUAUGUUUUUCUUCUAUUGCUGAAAUUAUUCACACCAAAAGUAAAGUCUGACUUCAAUGUAAACAGAGAGUAAGAUACAGUAUGUUGGUGAUGAGGUUUUCUUUAUUUGCAAUGACAUUGACUUAAACAACAAUAUAUCUGCCAAGGAAAAGGAAUCAGAUGGGAGAAAAGUGAUACAGGAAAUGUUUUAGCUUGAAUAUUUUGUGAUUGGUGAUGUGUUGCUUCCCUUAUGUCAUUUCUCACCCAUUGUUAUGUCAAUGUAGCGCAAAUCUAAGAAUAGCAAAAAGGGAUACCACGGGAUGGACAAGGAUACUUUUUUUUAGCAAAAAUAAGUUUGUAAACUAACAGGUGAACAACAUUAAUUGUCAAGUUCCACAGUAAAAAUUCUUCAUACUCUGUGUAUGGUUGUUGCUAUUCUCUAGUGCAGUGGUUCCCAAACUGUGGGGCGCGCCCCCAGAGGGUGCACAUUUUUUUAAGGAUCUCAGUUCGGCUUUCAAACUCACUCUUGAAAGUUGUAAUAGUAGAAUGCACAAAGAGCAAUUUCGUAAUUGGUUAGUGCAUCAUCAGUUUUUCUCUUAUCAUGUCAGUCAUUGCAUAACUUAGAGCUAUUUGUUGCUUGUCAGAAAUGUCCAGAUCCACUAGUCCAUGUCAGCUAAAGCUUUUUAGCCCAUAGAUUUUGUUGUAAUGUUUGAGUCAUUUAAAUCACAUGAAUACGCAUUAGACAUGGCAAAAUUAAUAGUAUUGCAGGAAAUAUGUUUUAAACCUGCAAGAAUGUCUCUCUACCAACAAGAGGGGUGUGAACAGCUUGUGUCAUGAACAGUGCUUGUGCCCAUAGGUAUAGACAUGGAACUCUUUUUGAAAACAUCUGUUGCUGUCCACUAAAUACACUGAACAAAAAUAUAAAUGCAACAUGUAAAGUUUUGGUCCCAUGUUUCAUGAGCUGAAAUAAAAGAU